CCCCGCACCCCACCCUUCCCUGCCGAGCUUGUUCCUCUAGCCACCCACUCGUCUCCUCCUCCUCCUCCUCUCUCUCUCUUCUCCUCCUUCCUGAUCUCUGCGUCGGCCGGACCGCGAGAGGAGCGGUGGUGGCGGAGACGCUCCGGUGGCGGCAUCGAGUUGCGAACCCCAGGGACCAGGUCUGGGGGUUCGGUUCCAAGGCGCGGAUGGCUUCUCCGCCUAUGACGCCGAGGGCAAGUGCACACCCCAGUCCCCUCCUCCUGGGCGAACCCUACGAGAGAGAGAGGAAGAUGAGAGGGAGGGAGAGAGAAUGACCGGCGUCGGCCUGCGCCGGCGAGGACGGGCGCGACUUGGAGGUUGGCCGCUACUCGAUCUGCUCUUGGAUCGGGAGCUUUGACGAAGCUGGGGUUCGGGCGCAUUGCACCGGAGGCUGCACUCCACCUCUUCCUCGUGAAUUUGUUGUCUGACCGUCCAAGGAACUGGCUCACCUCGCUAUGGAAUUAGGAGAAGUCAGUUACUUCGUCUUAGCUCUGUUCAGAGAUCUAAAAGACUAUCAGGAUACACAAAAUUGAUUUGAAUUCUGAAAGUACGUGUUGUUCUAUGUUCUUGGGCACGUAGCAAGCUUAGGAAAAACACUGUAAGCUUGCGACAGAAAAAGAUACAAAUACUCACAAUUAUUAUCUUCCGAUGACCAUUUUAGGCUUCUUUCAGGAAGUGAGUAUGCAAGAUAACUUCAGGCAAAGUGUACAGAGGCUGCAGCUGAAGCCAAAUUUUGAAGGUUGCAAGUUGGUUUCUGUUGGAACAAUCACUGAAAUUGGUGAGAGUUUAUCUCACAUGUGCCGCUCACUGAUGAGAAGUAGAUUGAAGUGACUGGUGCUAGAGAAGAAGGAGCGACCGGGAAAGUACACCAGUGAUACCCUGCCAGGCGAGCAGAAGGAAGCUAAGCAGAUGCUCCUUAUAAUCCCUAAGAAGCAAAGAGGGAGCAAAAGAACAGGUCCGCUUAAAGGGUAAAAUCCUCUGUAAUCCCGAAUUGUGCUUUUGUGAAAAUGUCUGGAUCAGUUUGAUGCUAGACAUGAUUAAUUUACUAAUUAUUUUUGGCAUCAUUAUAAGUAAUUUUGGAUUAGGCACAUUGUGGUUUCGUAAUAAGAACUGAAAUUAUGUCUAGAAAAAGAGAACUAAUUACAGUAGAACUUGUAGUUCCUUGUGUUUGAUUCCUUAUAGAUGGACCUUGGAUACUGGAUUAGCCGCUGCUAGCCGAUGUGCCAUGAAGAAAUUGUAGUAGAAGGGCGAUGCGAGCUACUGGGUGUUGAUUUAAAACCUGGAUUUGAUAACCAAAAGCUUAAAUCAGAAAACUGGGUUUAAGCGGUGCUUAUCGUAUUGACCUCAAAACAUAAGUUGUACAGUCGUUCAUAGUUUUCACAUUAGCACUGGUUUUGUCAAUUUAGUUUUAUGGUUUGCAAGCAUUGCCGGAACAAUGCUACUGUACUACCAUGUUUAAUUUGACCAUAUUUUCUAUUCCAUAUGUUUUCAUCUAUUUUCCUGGUUGUGUAACCACCAGGUCAUCCUGAAAAUAUCUUGCAGUCCUGGUUCCAAAAAACGAGGCAGUCUGUAGGACAUGUUCAGUUUAAUGAUAUUUUCCUUGUCGUUGCUAUACAUUUAUUUGUUUAUUAUGUGAUUAUAAAAAGCAACAUGUAUGAUCUAGCUGUUAUAAUAUUUUCCAUGAAAUAUGAUGAUUUAUGAUUAUCUUCAAUACGGUUGCGGUUAACUUAGUAAAGUAUAUGAAAAUAUGGCUUGCAGAUUGAUAUAAUUAAGAAGAUACUUCACAUGUUUUGAUAAGUGAUGAUUUGUUUCGGGAAGGUCAUAGGCAUCAUAGGUUCUGCUUGAGAAAUCAUGUGUUCUUUAUUUUCCUUUGAGGAAUAAAAUAAGAUGAUUAAUAUAUGCAUAGCAGGUUAAUGCAAGUGAUAGCAAGCAAACUCGUGGAAAGGAGAACAAUGCCAUGUUGCACUCCUGGAUUUGAUUUUUUUUAUUUGAGAGUGGAAUUGGAUAAGAGACUUUUGUUUCUGUCCUAUUACUAUUUGUGGUUAGCAGAUGCCGCAAAAUUAUAAAUAUGAUCGACAUCAUAAUGUAAUGUCUGAGACGUUCUCAACUAAGAUUUCACGUGCAGAUCUUGCUCGCCGGCCUCAUCUUUUUCUUCAGGUUAGUAGUACGUCGUUUCUGCGGCAAGAUGAGCUUACCCAUUAAAUUUGUUCAAUCCAAGGUUAAGAUUCAUAUCCCUUCAACUAUAAUUUGAACAUUUAGCCUUUUUCCGCUCAUUACAAUUAACUGCAUCUAAACACACCAUACUCGCAUCUGCUGAACUCUACUGUACUCGCAUCUGCUGUCCUCUCUCUGUUUUCUUUACCUCUCUUCUAUUGACUAUUUAUUCAUGACUGUGUGCCAGCUUUGUACUUCGUGGAUUAAUUCCUCUAAUGCAAUAAAGUCUCUAGACAUUUUAUUCUUCAUAUGUCUGCCCUGUGGGCUUGCUGUGUCUUCUUUCUAGGUUUUACAAAGUAGAAAUGGCCCUUUCUAAUUUGAUCUUCACGAUCCAUUGAUCACCCCUCUUGUUUCCUGCUCCUUGGGGGUCCGGAGAAAAAAAUGCCUCUUGCUUACAGAACAAGAUUCUUGGUACUCCUUAUAGUGCCUAUUUGAGCUUCUUCUUCAAUGUUCCCACGCGGGCCCAAAUAAUUGAUGUGUUGCUUAUUUAUUGGUGCUCCUUUUGUUGGUCCUUUGGGCCGCCCCUCUCUUUUAUUACAGAUUUAUUUUACAUGGGGUUUACAGGGCUUUGGGUUUUUGGGGCUUAUAAUUCUUCAUGGGCUUUUUGAAAGAUGUGUCUUGGGUUUUGCUUCUUGGGCUUGCUCUGUAGGACAGUGCGAUUUCUUUUCAUAGAAUGUUGUCAUCUAUAUCUUGCUGAAGUACAAAACUAUUGGUCAGUUAAUUCUCUCACUCAUCAAUUUACAAAUUCAGUAUUUUAUUUCACAUGGGGCUUGGCUGGUUUACGUUUAAUUCAUGCAUCAUAUAUGUUGUUUAGUUCAGACUUGUGCAUGUGCAUGCAUUGGAAUUGAUUUAACAAAGAUAUAGCAUGAUUCUGUACAUAAAAAUAGUAUGAGUAUGCAUGAUCUAUGAAUAAAUGCUCGGAUAUAGUUAGUCGUGAGAUAGUAGGAGUACCAUGGGCUUACAACUUCUGGAUAUCAUUAAUAAUUAAUGGCCUGUAGUUGUUCAAAAAUCUGGAAUGUCUUUCAAGAACUGUUGAUCAAUGUUGUUAUGAGUAUUUCUCAGAGUUUUGGUUGCAUGUAUGUACAUUAGAAUAGCAGAGGUUCUUAUUUUACUUUGUCCAGAAGAGGGGAUUUUACUUAUUUUUGUUCACAAUUUUUAUCUAACUUUCUAUCAGCACCAACGACCACAAUGGGAUGGAUCAAGCAGCCAAGACUCAGAGUGUGGUCGACAAUGCGGCUCUUCCAGCACUGAAGUUAUGUCUUUUGGGCCAAUUUCAAUUGCCUCACUACCUUUACACAUGGAUCCUGUAGGUAUUUCCUAAUGUAAGUGUCACUGUUUUUCUUCUUUAUGUACCUGGACGGGAGUGCUCAUGAGGAUGACGACAUGCUACUGAACUCAAAUUCAGAAAUGAAGUUGGGGGCCUGGGGUUUGGAGCCCCUCAGUAGAAGUGCUCAGGCGGCAUUUCACAGUUGUUUGCUGAGAAUUUAACAAGAACAAAUUUUGCUUGUCUCUAGCAUUAGGCUAUGAGCCCUAAAGCAGUUCCAGUGUGAUGAGCUACCUCUUGACUAGGAAGGGGGGAUUGAAAGAUAGCACUUGUCAUUUGAAGCAAUUAGUAUUGGACUAUUUGAGGAAGUAAAUGUUUAAACCACUAAACCUUAUAUUCUUUUGUAAAAAGGAGGGUGCAGAUAAAUAAGAGUUGUUGGCAGCAGCAACCUACACGUGUGGAAACAGUGGCUAUGGCGGCUCAAAGGGAAGUUGUGGCCGCUAGACAGCAACCCACAACUUAGUGGCGACUCAAAGUACAUAUAAUCUAUUUCUUCUUGGAGCUAUCUACUAUAAUAUUAUGACUCGGUGCUAGCUGAAGCUUCUAUUUUCUCGCCUUUUGUGGUGGCGGUGAGUCCUUCAACUGCAGUAGUUUUUCUAUGUGCCAUUGUAAGUGUAGGUUUUCUACAGUUAAGCCUCUCGCAUUGCAAAAAGCUACAUUCCAUUGUUUUUCUACGUGCCAUUGUAAGUGUAGGUUUUCUACCGGCUUCAACAUAGAUAAUUAGCAUGCGAGAGGCUUAACUGUAGCUUUUUGCGAUGCUAGACGGACAUAUUCAGUACUGAAAAUCUAGACUGUUCUUUCCACUCUGUAACAACUUCUAUGCUUGCGCCACCAUGAUAUCAGUACAACAUUUGCUUAUAAAAUUUUCUUAGUUGCAUGUAAACUGAAUUGUUUUACCAGUAAAAAUCUGGACAACUCAUUCCAGUCGAUAAUAACCAUUGUGGCAUUACCAUAAUAUGUCAUGUAUCUGCUCUGAGUUGUAGUAUGCUGCAAAAAGUACAAUAAGAGAUAGAAUGUAUGCACUAUGGCUAGCAGUAACUUUUUUUGACUUUUACAACAUUUGAUCUAUCUAUUUCUGCAGGUUAUUCCUCUUGUUGCAACCUUUUCCCAUAGAAUCAAAGGGAAUUAGAUUGAAGAAAUUACAGGAGAGCAGGAAGGGUAUUCCUGGUGUGACAUUCAAAAGCAGUCAAAACGGUGAGGUUUAGAACGGAGGAUCUCCGUGGAAUUAUGGAUAAAAAAUUAUCCAUAACAUGUCUGUCAUUGCUCAUGUCGACCAUGGUAUGUGACCAAUCAGUGGCAGUUGUCUCUAAUCAUCAAUUUUAUAUAGUCUUCUUGAUUGAUGAUUUUGUAGCCUUCUCUUAGUUGUACCAUAUUAAUUCUUAAAACUGGAUCAUUUAAAAUUAGUUAGAUUUAAUGAGUUGUUUCACUGUUUUCAAAUAAGUAGUUUAAGCCCUUAUUGCGUUCUGGAGCUUAUUCUUUCUGCCUUUUUAUGAUUGAUUUAUGCUCUCACAAGCUUAAAUGUAACUAUUGACAUAUAAUCUCAUGGCUCAAAGUCUUAGUUGUUGAAUGUAUUAAAAUUUAUAAGAUCUGGAGUUUGCACUAUAAUUUCAUCCAGCGGUAUUCCCAGUAUCCCAGGUUGUACAUUCAGGUACUGGGAAAUGCUUUUAUCGAAAUUCUAGGAGGAUGUAAAUUACCCUUUCUUUCCAAUGCAAUGAAACGCAAAAGCCAUUUGCGUUUUCUCGAAAAAAAUGCUUUUAUCUUGCAGGCCAGUUUUACAUUUAUUUUUCAGUAACGAGAUGAACAUGAAUAGGGUAUCAAGGUAUUUGCCUUGGCAUUACUAACAUCGUGUUCAGGUUACUAAAAGAAGGAUUGAUAGCGGCAUACCUUAACUCGACUGAUGCUUUAACUGCUGCCUCUCUAAGCUUUGAUUAGCCAUGGAGAUACUCAAGUUCCAAAGCCCCAAGUGAGGCUAUCCUUCUGAGAUCCGUUCAUCCCAGUUCAUUAAUUUGUUUGAAAUAUAUAUAUGUAUAUUCCAAUAUUGCUCAAUCUCCAGCUGGCCUCUAGGUUAUCAGAUGAAAUCCGGUUAAAUUUUAGGGAGGUUGAGUAGGAGUGUUUGGAAAUAAAGGCUUUGUUGUUGUUGUUGUUUGAGUAGGAGUAUCUCCCUUUUCUGUAUAAAUUUUGUUGCUAUGAAUAGUUGCAUUGUUAUAUCACUGAAAAGUUCCUGGGCGUAGUAUGUGUUCCUCUAGACUUGGUUGAAAGUAUUCCUUCUGUUAUCCAGUUUCUCACUACGCAUGUUACCUUUGUUGCUAAGUUUUGCCUAUAGUUUAUGUAUAGUAGACUCACAUGAUUACCUGAUGACUCAUUCAUGCAAGAACUAUUGUUAAUUUUUUCCUUUUCUGCAAUGAUGGUCGUAGCCCUUUGACUGUACAAGCCGCAAAGGAGUGAAGCAUAGAAAAUAUGUCCAUUGUCGUUGAAUUGGUGGGAUUGUCACCAAGUUAGUGCUGCAGAUUUCUUUUUAGAGCAAGAAGCCAAAUCAUGUAGUUCAUUGUAAAUCUUGAAAAACUUGUUUAUUGUCACUUCUAUAUCUGUUAUAAACAUUUUUUCGUGA